rnacentral:rRNA from 1 species
GACGAACGCUGGCGGCGUGCUUAACACAUGCAAGUCGAACGGAAAGGCCCUGCUUUUGUGGGGUGCUCGAGUGGCGAACGGGUGAGUAACACGUGAGUAACCUGCCCUUGACUUUGGGAUAACUUCAGGAAACUGGGGCUAAUACCGGAUAGGAGCUCCUGCUGCAUGGUGGGGGUUGGAUAGUUUCGGCGGUUGGGGAUGGACUCGCGGCUUAUCAGCUUGUUGGUUGGGUAGUGGCUUACCCAGGCUUUGACGGGUAGCCGGCCUGAGAGGGUGACCGGCCACAUUGGGACUGAGAGACGGCCCAGACUCCUACGGGAGGCAGCAGUGGGGAAUAUUGCACAAUGGGCGGAAGCCUGAUGCAGCAACGCCGCGUGCGGGAUGACGGCCUUCGGGUUGUAAACCGCUUUCGCCUGUGACGAAGCGUGAGUGACGGUAAUGGGUAAAGAAGCACCGGCUAACUACGUG